GAUGAACGCUAGCUACAGGCUUAACACAUGCCAGUCGAGGGGAAACGACAUCGAAAGCUUGCUUUUGAUGGGCGUCGACCGGCGCACGGGUGAGUAACGCGUAUCCAACCUGCCCAUCACUUGGGAAUAACCUUGCGAAAGUAAGACUAAUACCCAAUGACAUCCCACGAAGACAUCUGAAUGGGAUUAAAGAUUUAUCGGUGAUGGAUGGGGAUGCGUCUGAUUAGCUUGUUGGCGGGGGAACGGCCCACCAAGGCAACGAUCAGUAGGGGUUCUGAGAGGAAGGCCCCCCACAUUGGAACAGAGACACGGUCCAAACUCCUACGGGAGGCAGCAGUGAGGUAUAUUGGUCAAUGGGCGAGGGCCUGAACCAGCCAAGUAGCGUGCAGAAUGACUGCCCUAUGGGUUGUAAACUGCUUUUAUAAGGGAAUAGAGUGGGUCUCGCGAGACUUUUUGCAUGUACCUUAUGAAUAAGGACCGGCUAAUUCCGUG
rnacentral:rRNA from 1 species